rnacentral:rRNA from 1 species
UACGAAGGGGGCUAGCGUUGCUCGGAUUGACUGGGCGUAAAGGGCGCGUAGGCGGUUUGUACAGUCAGACGUGAAAUUCCUGGGCUCAACCUGGGGGCUGCGUUUGAUACGUGCGAGCUUGAGUUCGGAAGAGGGUCGUGGAAUUCCCAGUGUAGAGGUGAAAUUCGUAGAUAUCGAGAGGAACACCGGUGGCGAAGGCGGCCAACUGGACGAACACUGACGCUGAGACACGAAAGCGUGGGGAGCAAACAGG